UUAACUGCUUUUUGGAUUUGAUUGAACCUUUAUUUAAGUGUAUCAUGUAUGAAUCUAAAGCAGUAGUUGUUUACAGAAUUUGGCGUUGCAAGCAUGUGGCGUGUGGUAUCAAUUUAACAAAUGUGCUUGUUUGUUUAUAUUUUUAUUAGGGAUGGCAACGAAUACCGAUUUCGGUAUUCGAAUAUUUGGUCAUCCUUCCGAACGAAUAUUCGGAUAUUCGGUCAACAUCUGUUGAAAAAAAGUCAACUUUGUUUACCGUACCAUUACUCCAUGAAUUCUACUUUACAAAACAAAAAUAAAUUGUACUUAUUUACAGUAUAACAUUAUUAGGGGCGAAGAUUUCCGACCAGAGUUCCGACAAAUUGGGGAACUGCGCAGCCUGACAGAACUGAUGUACCCUUGCUUGCAGUUACUGCUACAGCAACAGAGAAGGUACAGCAGAAUAUACACCAAGGUCUGCUGUUGUCCGACGAUGCGUUAUCCGUCGGCGUAUUACCCGACAGACCGAAUAUUCGACUGGCGGUUAGAAAUCGACUGAUCACGCUGAGGAAGAGCUGGUGUGGUUGCUGCAACAGUUUCAGACAACACCCACACUGGUCAAGACUAUAAUAUUCUGCAAGUCGUACAGGUGUGUAUAUCAAGUGUGGUCAUGGUUGGUUAUUCAACUCGGUGACAUGUCUUACGAC